rnacentral:rRNA from 1 species
UGGACGAGGGGCCCCUCUCGGGUUACCGAAUUCAGACAAACUCCGAAUGCCAAUUAAUUUAACUUGGGAGUCAGAACAUGGGUGAUAAGGUCCGUGUUCGAAAGGGAAACAGCCCAGACCACCAGCUAAGGUCCCAAAAUAUAUGUUAAGUGGAAAAGGAUGUGGCGUUGCCCAGACAACUAGGAUGUUGGCUUAGAAGCAGCCAUCAUUUAAAGAGUGCGUAAUAGCUCACUAGUCGAGUGACACUGCGCCGAAAAUGUACCGGGGCUAAACAUAUUACCGAAGCUGUGGAUUGUCCUUUGGACAAUGGUAGGAGAGCGUUCUAAGGGCGUUGAAGCAUGAUCGUAAGGACAUGUGGAGCGCUUAGAAGUGAGAAUGCCGGUGUGAGUAGCGAAAGACGGGUGAGAAUCCCGUCCACCGAUUGACUAAGGUUUCCAGAGGAAGGCUCGUCCGCUCUGGGUUAGUCGGGUCCUAAGCUGAGGCCGACAGGCGUAGGCGAUGGAUAACAGGUUGAUAUUCCUGUACCACCUAUAAUCGUUUUAAUCGAUGGGGGGACGCAGUAGGAUAGGCGAAGCGUACGAUUGGAUUGCACGUCUAAGCAGUAAGGCUGAGUAUUAGGCAAAUCCGGUACUCGUUAAGGCUGAGCUGUGAUGGGGAGAAGACAUUGUGUCUUCGAGUCGUUGAUUUCACACUGCCGAGAAAAGCCUCUAGAUAGAAAAUAGGUGCCCGUACCGCAAACCGACACAGGUAGUCAAGAUGAGAAUUCUAAGGUGAGCGAGCGAACUCUCGUUAAGGAACUCGGCAAAAUGACCCCGUAACUUUGGGAGAAGGGGUGCUCUUUAGGGUUAACGCCCAGAAGAGCCGCAGUGAAUAGGCCCAAGCGACUGUUUAUCAAAAACACAGGUCUCUGCUAAACCGUAAGGUGAUGUAUAGGGGCUGACGCCUGCCCGGUGCUGGAAGGUUAAGAGGAGUGGUUAGCUUCUGCGAAGCUACGAAUCGAAGCCCCAGUAAACGGCGGCCGUAACUAUAACGGUCCUAAGGUAGCGAAAUUCCUUGUCGGGUAAGUUCCGACCCGCACGAAAGGCGUAACGAUUUGGGCACUGUCUCAACGAGAGACUCGGUGAAAUCAUAGUACCUGUGAAGAUGCAGGUUACCCGCGACAGGACGGAAAGACCCCGUGGAGCUUUACUGUAGCCUGAUAUUGAAAUUCGGCACAGCUUGUACAGGAUAGGUAGGAGCCUUUGAAACGUGAGCGCUAGCUUACGUGGAGGCGCUGGUGGGAUACUACCCUAGCUGUGUU